GUGUUCGAUUUGGCAGUACAUAGGCUAAAAUUGGAAUGAUACAGAGAAGGUUAUCAUGGCCCCUGAGCAAAGAUGACAUGCAAAUUCUAGGGUAAUCACUAAAGAAU
ensembl:snRNA U6 U6 spliceosomal RNA